rnacentral:ncRNA from 1 species
UCGCUCGAAAGGCAAGUCUUCCGAAAGGAAGUACACGCAAAGCUUCAGGUCUAAGGGUUGUCAAGUAAUGACAUCUACGAUAGCUGGGCUGCCGUC